CCUAUUCAAAACUGAUAGCAGGGUAGACCCAAACAGGUGUCCGCCUGCCGAAAGGCCAACGAAACGCACCAGCGACAAUCAGAUGGGCAGAACUGCUCUUGGAGUGAGAGAGAGAUUUCCCAACAGCUCAGCUCAGUGUGGUGCAGACCGGCGAUUCUUGCAUUUAUUGAUUCGAUGCCAAUGUGAAGGGAGGUGCCG
rnacentral:sRNA from 1 species